rnacentral:lncRNA from 1 species
CUUGGGAAAGGCCCUCCCAUGAUCGUGUUUGCAUCCCCACAUCCUCCUGGGUAUGGACGAGAGAGCUCCAACUCCUUCAGGCUCUCACUGAUCCUCAUUGGAGUCCCCACAUAGGCAUGAAGGAAACUAAUCACAGGCAGUGCCGAGCUGGGCUGGAAGGAACGAGCCCUAACGCCGCCCGCUCGGCAAGCUAAACGCGGAUCUCGCAAAAUCAUCUCUCGAUGAAGGUAAAAUUCGACCGCCCGCUCCGGGCAGAGAUGUUGGAGCAGCCCGGGAGGUCUCAGCGGCCCUCAGCCCGCUGCCAAACCCGUUGGCUCUCAGCGCUGACCGCUCCCGCACCGCCCGGCCCGGCGCCCGCAGCGCUCCCACGUGCGGGGACAGCGGUACAGCGCGGCUUGGAAAGCCGCUCCGCGGUUGUCGUUCGUGUCAGACUGCAGCGGGUUAAAGCCGUAUUUCUCCUUCCCUGCGCUUUCCUCUUUCCCCGCUUUAUUGUUUUUUUUUUUUUCUCUUUUCCUUCUUCUUUUCCCGUCGUAAAAAUAUGCUUUAUACUCUUAUUUAAUGGGAUAUAGGAUAAAGGGAUGGAGGCGACGCGACGCACGCCGCGUGUCCGCUCUUUCCCGGCUGCCCCCGAGCCGAACGCGGCCCGAGCCCGAGGCUUCCCCACGGCGCUGGAAUCGCGCUGCUCGCGGUGCGGGGCUGGGAGGAAGAGGGGAGCCCAUCACCCCCAUCCCGC